UACGUAGGGUGCGAGCGUUAAUCGGAAUUACUGGGCGUAAAGCGUGCGCAGGCGGUCUGUUAAGACCGAUGUGAAAUCCCCGGGCUUAACCUGGGAACUGCGCUCGAAACGGGAUGACUAGAGAUCGGGAGAGGAGAGUGGAAUUCCCAGUGUAGAGGUGAAAUUCGUAGAUAUCGGGAGGAACACCAGUGGCGAAGGCGGCGACCUGGACGGACACUGACGCUGAGACGCGAAAGCGUGGGGAGCAAACAGG
rnacentral:rRNA from 1 species